AACAGGAUUAGAUACCCUGGUAGUCCACGCUGUAAACGAUGCUAACUCGUUUUUGGGGAUUUAUCUUCAGAGACUAAGCGAAAGUGAUAAGUUAGCCACCUGGGGAGUACGAACGCAAGUUUGAAACUCAAAGGAAUUGACGGGGGCCCGCACAAGCGGUGGAUUAUGUGGUUUAAUUCGAUGAUACGCGAGGAACCUUACCGAGGCUUAAAUGGGAAUUGAUCGGUUUAGAAAUAGACCUUCCUUCGGGCAAUUUUCAAGGUGCUGCAUGGUUGUCGUCAGCUCGUGCCGUGAGGUGUUAGGUUAAGUCCUGCAACGAGCGCAACCCCUGUCACUAGUUGCCAUCAUUCAGUUGGGGACUCUAGUGAGACUGCCUACGCAAGUAGAGAGGAAGGUGGGGAUGACGUCAAAUCAUCACGGCCCUUACGCCUUGGGCCACACAUGUAAUACAAUGGCCGGUACAGAGGGCAGCUACACAGCGAUGUGAUGCAAAUCUCGAAAGCCGGUCUCAGUUCGGAUUGGAGUCUGCAACUCGACUCUAUGAAGCUGGAAUCGCUAGUAAUCGCGCAUCAGCCAUGGCGCGGUGAAUACGUUCCCGGGCCUUGUACACACCGCCCGUCAAGCCAUGGAAGUCUGGGGUACCUGAAGUCGGUGACCGUAAAAGGAGCUGCCUAGGGUAAAACAGGUAACUAGGGCUAAGUCGUAACAAGGUAGCCGUA
rnacentral:rRNA from 1 species